AAGUCGUAACAAGGUUUCCGUAGGUGAACCUGCGGAAGGAUCAUUAACUUGAUUAAUAAUCUUCUUUUAUAAUUGGAUAUCAUAUAACCUAACUGCUGGGGGCAUAUUUUAAAAAAUUUAUAAAAAUUUUUCUCUCCGCUGGGGGCCAUAUUUAUUUUAAAAAGUUUAAUUUAUUUAAUUGUGCAAAUUAUACUAUUUUUUAUAGUUAGUGAUGGAUAAAGUUUCUAAAAAAACUUUCAACAAUGGAUCUCUUGGCUCUU
rnacentral:misc_RNA from 1 species